rnacentral:rRNA from 1 species
AUGAACGCUGGCGGCGUGCCUAAUACAUGCAAGUCGAGCGAACAGACGAGGAGCUUGCUCCUCUGACGUUAGCGGCGGACGGGUGAGUAACACGUGGAUAACCUACCUAUAAGACUGGGAUAACUUCGGGAAACCGGCGCUCAUACCGGAUAAUAUCUUGCACCGCAUGGUUCAAUAGUGAAAGACGGUUUUGCUGUCACGUAUAGGUGGAUCCGCGCCUGAUUAGCUAGUUGGUAAGGUAACGGCUUACCAAGGCAACGAUCCGUAGCCGGUCUGAGAGGAUGAUCGACCACACUGGAACGGAGACACGGUCUAGACUCCUACGGGAGGCAGCAGUGGGGAAGAUUGGACAAUGGGCGUAAGCCUGAUCCAGCCAUACCGCGUGGGUGAAGAAGGCCUUCGGGUUGUAAAGCCCUUUUGUUGGGAAAGAAAAGCAGCAGGUUAAUACCCCGCUGUUCUGACGGUACCCAAAGAAUAAGCACCGGCUAACUUCGUG